rnacentral:rRNA from 1 species
GACGUAGGGCGCGAGCGUUGUCCGGAUUUAUUGGGCGUAAAGAGCUCGUAGGCGGCUUGUCGCGUCGUUCGUGAAAACUUGGGGCUCAACCCCAAGCUUGCGGUCGAUACGGGCAGGCUGGAGUUCGGUAGGGGAGACUGGAAUUCCCGGUGUAGCAGUGAAAUGCGUAGAUAUCGGGAGGAAUACCGAUGGCGAAGGCAGGUCUCUGGGCUGACACUGACGCUCAUGCACGAAAGCGUGGGGAGCAAACAGG